CAGCUCCUCCUCUUACUCCCCACUACCUGAUUCAUCUUAUCAUUGUUGUGUAGGGUAGGAGGUUGAGAGCCCUGUUACUGGUGCCACCAGGCUAUUGGUUCAUCAGGAACCAUGGGAUCCAUACGGAUCUGUGAUCAACAGGAAAAAUGGCAUUUAGGUCCUACACUCUUUAACUCUUUUUGCAGCAACAAUUGCUGUGCAUGUAAAAUUUCUUUAGUAUAGUAAUUUUAGAUGUAACUCAUAGUAUAAUAUAUAUUCUUUAUAGAAUUUUUUAAAAAUAAAAAAUAUAAUUAAAAAUUUUUAAUUAUCCAUAAACAUACCUCACCACAGUCCUCAUGGGUAACAUUUGAUAGUUACAGCUUGAAUCUUACUUUACUAGGAUAUUGAGAAAGUGUGGCUUGAGUGCAUUUGGUGGGUAGUUUUCAUUUUCAUCUUUAUGCUUAGCUGUUUUCUUUUUUAAGCAAUGAAUACACUAGGUGUGUAAUUCUAAAAGAUGAUUCAAGCACAUCAAUUAUUAUCCUUUGAGAUAAACUUACACAAGUAGAAUUUCUGAUUCUGAAGAUAAACAUGUUUGUAAGGCAUUUGAUAAAUACUUUCAUAUUGUGUCCAUUACUUCUCACAUAAGCAGUACACAUGAUUUGCCUUCUCCUCUUGGAGAAGGAAAUGGCAACCCACUCCAGUAUUCUUGCCUUGAGAAUCCCAUGGGUGGAGGAGCCUGGUGGGCUGCAGUCCAUAGGGUUGCAAAGAGUUGAACGUGACUGAAGUGAUUUGGCGCAAAGAGUCGGACACAACUGAGCGACUUCACUCUUGUCUUGAAAGCCUUGGGGAAAUUGUUUCCAUUUGUUAUUAUUUAUUAGAGAAAAGUUAGAAAAUAAAGAAGUGUAAAAACUAAGGAAGUAGUAAUUAAGUUACAGCAGGCAGGAAGCUAGGUAUUAGCAGAGAAAUGGGGGCAGGGCCAGGUGGCAGGAAACCACCCGGCUUGUAAACAUGCAGGUCCUUGGGCAGACGAAGGAAAGCAGGAACCCUCAGAACCCACAGGGAAUCACGCAUUUUGGGUUAUAAGGGUCCAAGUAGCAGACGAAGAGGUCUUCCCUGGUGGCUUAGAUGGUAAAGAAUCCACCUGCAAUGAGAGAGACCUGGGUCCUAUCCCUCCGUUGCAAAGAUCCCCUGGAAGAGAGCAUGGCAACCGACUCCAGUAUUCUUGCCUGGAGAAUCUGCAUGGACAGAGGAGCCUGGCAAAGAGUCAGACGUGACUGAGUGACUAAGCAUAGCACAGCGCAGCAAAGAAUGCUUUUGAAUUAUGGUGCUGGAGAAGAAUCUUGAGAGACCCUUGGACUGCAGGGAGAUCAAAUCAGUCCAUCCUAAAGGAAAUCAGUCCUGAAUAUUCAUUGGAAGGACUGUUGCUGAAGCUGAGGCUCCAAUACUUUGGCAGCCUGAUGCGAAGAGCUGACUCAUUGGAAAAGAUCCUGAUGGCUGGGAAAGAUUGAAGGCAGAAGGAGAAGGAGGCAGCAGAGAAUGAGAUGGUUAAAUAGUAUCACUGACUCAAUGGACAUGAAUCUGGGCAGGCUCCGAGAGAUACUAAAGAACAGAGGAGCCUGGCGUGCUUCAGUCCAUGGGGUCACAAAGAAUUGGACACGGCUUAACGACUGAACAAGCACAAGCCGACCAAGAAAGGUGGGAAAAGGCUGCAAUCUCCUGCAUCCAAAGGAAACUCUUGCUCAUUGUGUUCUCAUUGCAAUAAUAUUAGCUUACAGAUAAGAAGUUCUCAUCAUGUACCAAUGCCAUGACAUUCUGAUUUAAGCUAAAUGGGGACCGAAAUCCCUCCUCCUCUUGGGAAGAAGGAGCUGGGAAGAAAGUCAGGGAUGUUGACCCCUAAACUCCUCCUUCCCCAGUGAAUAUUCUGCGCCUUCAUUUGUAUGGCCCUUGUAACGGGCUUGACAGAGAGGCCUGAGAACUCCUCACCUGUCUCCCCACUCUCCCUCUGAGGUCAUGGUGGUGGGGGUGGUUUGCUCAUUCAGUUGUGUUUGACUCUUUGUGACCCCUUGGACUGUAGCCCACCAGGCUCCUCUGUCCAUGGGAUUUCCCAGGCAAGGAUACUGGAGUAUUCUUAACCUCUCUGCUUCAUCUCCAAAUUCUUUCAUGCUGAAGAACCUCAAAUUCAGCAGCAAUAAUUAGUGACAAAUGCAUUCAAAGAUAAUCAGUGCUGAAAUUUUAGUGAUGCUCUUUAAUCUAGAAAUAUACAGUAUGAAGUGUGCACAUGUAGCUUUGUGUGCACAUGUGCAUGUCCAUGAGAAUCACACAGGCCAAUGCUGGUCCCCUAGACCCAGAGAUUGGGAGCGGCAAACCACAAUUUUCAUUCCUUGUGGGUGUUGGAACCUCCUGGCUGAGAGGCCUAGUCCUGCUUGUCACCCCAAGUCAGGAGAGCUGGCUCCAAACCCUGGCUUUGUGACUCUGAGUUGUAAGACUAUCAAUAAAUCAUUCAAACUUGGAGCCAUUUUUUUCCCUCUUGUUCUUGGGUAGAUGAUUUUAAUGGUUUUUUCCAACUGUAGCUUUGUAUGAUUUUAUGUUUUAAGCAGGGCAACCCCCUUUGAUGACAGCACUCUUCUUUAAAGCUCCAAACUUGAAACAUCUCUGUCACGCCACAAUCCUCUGCUACAGAGAUAUGUGUGUUUGCAACCCUCGACUGGUGCCAGAGAAGCAUCUUUUAAAAUGAUACCCCAAGGGUGGGAUGGGAACAGAAGGUUAUUAAGAGCAUGGAAAAACAAGUUAAUCACUUCUGCUGUGUGAAUGUGCUUCAGCAUUCACCAAUUCCAAAGCUCGGCAAAGGAUAGUUCACUGGUGGUGGUUUUCUUCUGUUCUCGCUAUAGCUUGGGAGUACAAACAAAUCUAUUAAGUGAUUUAGUAAUUUGAAAGAGCUUUAACAAAUCCAUUUAGUUAAGUGAGGAGGACCCAUAUGUAAAGGCUUGGUUUCAGAUUUCUGUUGGCUGCGAAUCUUUCCAUUAAAAGAAAACACAUCUCCAGGAGGCUUAAAUAUUAAAAGGGAGUGUAUUGGCUCAGAUAACUCAACAGUCCAGAGAUCAAGAAGACAUCAGGCAUGGUUUGAUCCAGACCUAAGCUUAUCAACCAAGAUUUUAUGGCUUUCCAUCCUUCUCUGUGCUCUCUUUGUGUUAAAGCUGGUUCCUCCUGUAGUUACAAGAUGAGGUCUAAUACCUCCCUCAGUCCAUGUGCUUCAUCACCUAAUUCCAGUAGGAAAGAGCAUGACUUUUCCCAACCUUAAAGUUUCCUUUGGACCAGCUUGGGUCCUAGGCUCACCUCUGCAUUGUGACCAUAGUCAGGGGAAUGGAGUGUAUUGAUUGAUUUCCUUUUUUCCUUUUUUUUUUUUUUUUUGGUUGCACUGCACAGAUGCAGGAUCUUAGUUCCCCAACAAGGGGUUGAACCCACACCCCCUGCAACCCUGCAUUGGGAGCUCAGAGUUUUAACCACUGGGCCACAGGAGAAGUCCUUGAUUGGUUUUCUUAGUCCAUUCAGGCCAUGAUCACAGAACACAACAUGCUAGGUGACAUGUGUACUUACCUGCUUGGUUGCGUCCGACUCUUUGUGACCUCACGACUGUAGCCCACCAGGAUCUUCUGUCCAUGGGGAUUCUCCAGGCAAGAAAACUGGAGUGGGUUGCCAUGCCCUGCUCCAAGGCAUCUUCCCAACCCAGGGAUUGAACCCAGGUCUCCUGCAUUGCAGGCAGAUUUUUUACCAUCUGAGCCACCAGGGAAGCCCCUGGUGACAUGAACAACAGAAAUUCAUUUCUCACAGCUCUGGAGGCUGAGUGCAGGGUGCCAGCCAGCAUUGUUGAGUCCUGUUGAGAGCUCUGUUCUGGGUUGCUGCUGGCCAUUUUCUCUUCGUGUCCUCACUGGCAGAGGGGUAGCUCUUCACGGUCUCUUUUAUUGCUUUUGUAAGGGCACUAAUCUCAUUCAUGAAGCCCCCACCCUCAUGACCUGAUCACCUCCCAAAGGUCCCACCUCCAAACACCAUCACCAUGGGUGUUAGGGUUUCAACACAUGAAUACUGGGGAGACACAUUUAGCUCCCAACAUCACACAAAGCCAGUGUUGGAGAAGGUAUUGGGGGUGGGGAACUCUACAGCAUAGAUGGAGUAUAAGUCUUCAUUCCGCUUUAUUUUCCUAUCUGGAUAAAGAAGUGGGUUUUAGGAGUCCUGUUAAGCUUUCUGGGGAAAAAAAAUAGCACUGCUUGUAGUCUUUGCCAGAUUCCAUGGUAUAAAUUCUGCAAAUGUAGCUGAUUUCCAGAGAAGGUAAUGGCAACCCACUCCAGUCCUCUUGCCUGGAGAAUCCCAGGGGCAGGGGAGCCUGGUGGGCUGCCGUCUAUGGGGUCGCACAGGGUUGGACACAACUGAAGCAACUUAGCAGCAGCAGCAGCAGUAGCUGAUUUCAAGCUAUUGUGCUUCAAUAUCAACUUUCCUGAGUACAGUAAGUCUCCUAUGUACAGAUCCUUUAAGGGCUGUGAACUUUCAAAGAUGUGACUGUGCAUGUCCAAUCACUCAAGUUAGUUCACAUGUCUGGUGUGUAUUGUUACAGGCAUGCAUCCUCUCAAGUGGUUGUGCUUUUGUGUGCUUUACUGCUUAAUGCUAUAUAGAAAACAGUGGUUCAGCAUCUAUUUCAAGCCCAGGAUGUCUGAAAGUAACCGUAAAAGCAGCAGUGAUGUAGCUGGUACUGCUCUACUUUUCAAGGUACUGGAAGAUUAAAAAUAUUUAUUUUUUGUGUUUGCUUGUUUUUAUUAUUUUUCAUGCAAAGAGUCGGACACGACUAAGUGACUGAACUGAACUGACUGUGUAGUCGAUUGUGUUAGUUGGGUACCUAGGCUAACUUUGUUGGACUUAUGAACAUUUGGAACUUACAAAAGUGCUCUUGGAAUGGAGCUUGUUUGUAUGUAGGGGACUUACUCUAUUUAACAAUUGGAGAAGAUAACCUCUGGCUUCAAUACAUUGUUGGGAGCAUCUUUGUAACUUGCAGCUGGUUGUACUGGUUAACUUGCAUGUUGGCAAUACUCCCUGGGUUACUACAAAUACCUGACGUCAGGCAGAACUUGGAUUUUCCUAAAGUGUGCUUUUCCUAGUACUUUGAACUUUUUCUUCCUAGAGGAUGAUUUCAGGAGAGGCACUGAAGCGAUGUGAUGAUUGUGGCCUUUAAGGCUCGAGGGUUGGGGGUCUGUCCUGUGGUUUUUCUGAUGUCAUUUGCUGGCUGUGCUGAAGGCUCUGAAGGCUGCCGGUGAUUAGAACCCUCUGGUUUUGAAUCCUCUUCUAAUAAUUCCUGUACAUCACACCCAGCUGUUCGGGUUAGAUCCAGGUAUGGUGUCCUUCACAAAUUAAUUUUUCCUUGAUAUUGAGGCUCCUUGAAAUAGCAAUACUUUUAAACUUUGGCAUCCCAUGAAUAUAUAUAUUUUUAAAAGGUUGGUCUUCCUAGACGAGAUAAUGAAUAAGGCCAUUGGUUGAGUCUGAAUCAAUAUGCAAUUGUAUUUUAAAUGCAGCAUGCAUCUCAGGGCUGAGUUUUACUGCACUUUUAACCAAGGUUACACUGGUCUGCCUUAAUAGAUUAAAUGUUGAGGGGGCUGUGAAAGCUAAUUUAUCGGAGGCCACAAUGGAGGAAAGCAUAGGUCUCCUCAUACCACCUCCUCUGUCUUCCAGUCUCAUAGCAAGUAUUGCUUUGAGCAAGUUUGAGGUCUUCAGUGUUAAUCUACCUCCCCGCUUCCUUCCCAUUGUCUUAAAAGAGGAGGCAACAGACCCCAGGACCCCACAAUCUAGCUUUUCUGGCAGGGAGAGCUGGAGUCCUUCGUGAGGACAGUCCUGUGCUGACAGAGUGGCUAUAGACUCUAAAGCCUGCCUCAGGGUCUCUGCACAUGCUGUGCCCUCUGCUGGGACUCUCUCUCUCUCUCUCUCCAUGUCUCAGCAUGGAGACUCCUUUUCAUCACGGUAUAGGGCAGACACCUCCUUAGAGAGGCCCACCCUGACCACACUCUCUAAAGGAACUCUCCCUUGGGGAAGUGGGGGAAGGAUAAAUUAGUUUGGGAUUAACAGACACACACUGCUAUAUAUAAAAUAGAUAAAUAGCAAGGACCUACUCUAUAGCACAGGGAACUAUCUCAAUAUUUCGUAAUAACCCAUACAGGAAAAGAAUAUGAAAAAGAAUACAUCUGAAUUACUUUGCUGUAUGUCUGAAACUAAUACCAUAUCGUACAUCAACUAUACUUGAACUGAAAAGAGAAGGUAAAAAGUAUAGCUCCCUACUUAAACACCCCACCCUUUGCUUUCAUGCUUUCUUACUCUAUUUUCUCCUCAGUUUCAUGAGCUGAGAUUGCCUUGUUUGCAUGUUUCUGGCCUCUGUCUCUCCCACUGGAAUGUGCACCCUUUGCGGGCAGGACCGUAUCUUUCUCUCCCUCUUGUUCACCAAUGCACCUGUGCUGCGGGUGGUCCAUACAUUUGAAUGAAUUAGUAAAUGGAUGAAUGUACUUGUAUGCUGUUGAUGGGAACUUAAAUUGGUACAGCCACUGUGGAAAACAGUAUGGAGGCUUCUCAAAAACCUAAAAAUAGAACUACUAUAUGACCCAGAAAUUCCACUCCUUGGUAUAUAUCCACAAAAAAAAAAAAACCCCAAGAAGUUCAAUAUGAAAAGAUACAUGUACCCUAAUGUUCAUAGCAGCAUUAUUUUCAGUAGCCAAAGAAUGGAAGCAUCCUAACUGUCCAUCAGCAGAUGAAUGGAUAGAGAUGUGGUUCACACAUACAACGGAACAAUACUCAGCCAUAAAAAGGAACAAAAUCUUGCCAUUUGCAACAAUAUGGAUGGACUUGUAGGGCAUUAUGCUAAGUGAAAUAAGUCAGACAGAGAAAGACAAAUACUGCAUGAUAUCACUUAUAUAUAUACGACAAACCCGUGAAUACAACAAAAAAAGAAGAACACAAACCUGUGGGGAGGAGUGAGGGGCAAUAUAGGGGUGGGAGAGAGGUACAAACUAUUGGUGUAAGACAGGCUACAAGGAUGUAUUUUACAGCACAGGGAAUAUCAAUAUUUUGUAAUAAAUGUAAAUGGAAAGUAACCUUCAAACAUUGUAUAAAUUUGAGUUCCCUGGAGGCCGAGUGGUUAGGAUUUGGCACUGUCAUGGCCUGGGUUUGAUCCCUGAUUAGGGAACUGAGAUCACUCAAGCUGGGCAGCACGGACAAAAUAUUUUUUUAAUUGCAUAAAUUUUUUUUGGUAAAAUGGAGCCCUCCUCCACCUGCCAUCCUAGGCCAACCUUCUGUUCUGAGAUGACAGAGAAGCCCCCGCCUGAGCCCGCCACUGUGUAAGGCACAUGGGCUUGUCCUGGCCCUGGUCACACAGGCCACACUGGUGUUUCCUUGAUGUCAGUGCUCCCCACGGUUGGUUGCUUUAGUCGUUAAGUCAUGUCCGACUCUUGUGACCCCAUAGACUGUAGCCUGCCAGGCUCCUCUGUCCAUGGGAUUCUCCAGGCAAGAAUAUUGGAGUGGGUUGCCAUUUCCUCCUCCAGGGGAUCUUCCUGACCCAAGAAUAAAACCCGGGUCUCCUGCAUUGCAGGCAGAUUCUUUACUGACUGAGCUAGGAUCAGCUCCCCACCAUGAGGACCAUAUAAUCUCCAUCAGAAAGGGAGGGGGCGCCACCCCUUAGUAGGUGAUGUCAGCCUACUCAGAAGCCUCUUUGCUAGAAUCCAUCUUGAUCUCCUUGCAGUCCAAGGGACUCUCAAGAGUCUUCUCCAACACCACAGUUCAAAAGCAUCAAUUCUUCGGCUCUCAGCUGUCUUCACAGUCCAACUCUCACAUCCAUACAUGACUACUGGAAAACCAUAGCCUUGACUAUGGUUGGCAGAGUAAUGUCUCUGCUUUUGAAUAUGCCAUCUAGGUUGGUCAUAACUUUCCUUUCAAGGAGUAAGCAUCUUUUAAUUUCAUGGCUGUGUCACCAUCUGCAGUGAUUUUGGAGCCCCCAAAAUAAAGUCUGACAAUGUUUCCACUGUUUCCCCAUCUAUUUCCCUUGAAGUGAUGGGACCAGAUGCCAUGAUCUUUGUUUUCUGAAUGUUGAGCUUUAAGCCAACUUUUUCACUCUCCUCUUUCACUUUCAUCAAGAGGCUUUUUAGUUCUUCUUCACUUUCUGCCAUAAGGGUGGUAUCAUCUGCAUAUCUGAGGUUAUUGAUAUUUCCCCCCAGCCAUUUAAGAGAUAACUAAUCUGAACAACCUUGGAGAAGAACAGGCCCCUUAAGACAGUAGAUUUCCACAUAUAUGCCUAUAUAUACUUACUCUUUUCUUGGGUUAGUGCAGCAGCUCACUAAUCUGACUGUGGCUCCUUCUCACCUCGUUAAAGGUGAUCUGUUUCUGUAAAGUGCUUGUCUUGUUCUUUUUCCGAACCUCGCCUCCCCUAACUCCCUUACCUUAGAAUUAGGGAUGUGGAACAUUUUUCACGUGCCUGUUGGCUGUCUAUAUUUCCUCUUUGGAAAACUGUCUAUUCAGUUCUUCUGUCCAUUUCUAAAUCAGGUUAGUUUUUUUGAUUUUGAAUCAUAUGACCUGUUUAUAUAUUAAUCCUUUAUUGAUCAUGUCAUUAGCAAAUGUUUUUCCCAUUCAUUUUGUUUAUAGGUUUCUUUGCUGUGCCAAUGCUUUUAAGUUUAAUUAGAUCACAUCUGUUUAUUUUUGCUUUUAUUUCCUUUACUUUAGGAGAUGGGUCCAAACAUAUUGCUACAAUUUAUGUCAAAGAAUGUUCUUCUUAUGUUUUCCUCUAGAAGUUGAAUGGUAUGUGGUCUUACAUUUAGGUCUUUAAUCCAUUUUGAGUUUAUCUUUGUAUAUAAAAUACAUUAGGUCUUUAAUGCAUUUUAAGUAUAUUUUGGUGUUAAAGAAUGUUCAGAUUUCAUUCUUUUACGAGUAGAAGCACCAUUUAUGAAGUUUUCCAAGCACCACUUAUGAAGAGACUGUCUUUUUGCCAUUCUAUAUUUUGCCUUCUUUGUUGUAGACUAAUUGACCAUGGGUGUGUGGGUUUAUUUCUAGGCUUUCUAUCCUGUUCCAUUGAUCUCUGUGUCUGUUUUUGUACCAGUGCCAUGCUGUUUUGAUGACUGUAGAUUUGUAGUAUGGUCCAAAGCCAGGGAGCCUGAUUCCUACAUCUCUGUUGUUCUUUCUCAAGACUGUUUUGGCUAUUUGGGGUCUUUUGUAUUUCCAUACAAAUUUUAAAAGGGAAAGGCCAGCAGCCAGUCCACAAGUCAUUAUUCCCAGGGUAUCUGUUAGAAGUGGAGGAACAGGGUUUGGAGAGUUGGGAAUUUCAAAUGGAUCCAAGACUCUCAGGUGAGGAAUAAAUCUGUACAAUCAUUUCGUGGAGAUGAGCUGAAAGACUGUUGGUUUCCUACCAAUCCCUCACUCCCAGUGAAAGGCAGAAUGGUGUGGUGGUUAUAGCACAUGCUCCAUUAAGAGGGACUACCUGGCGUAAAGUCAGGUGUUCUCUGCCUUGCUGUGUGAUCCUGAAUAAGUAGCUUGGUUUUAUUAUCCAAGAAGUAAAUAUAAUGAUAUGACUUGAUUCAUAAUCCUGUUGCUAUACGGAUCAAAUGAGUUGAAUAAGGCUUAGCAUUUGGAAGGGGAUAAUAAAUACUAGUUGAUGUUGGUUGUGAAAAUAACAUGUUAUUAUUUUUAUUGGGACAGCCUGGCUUCAAAGACUAGGCUCAGAGUCCCAGGUAGAGUGAGGGACCUCCUUGAAGUUUGAGCUACCCUUUGGGACAUCUCUUUCAAUCUGACCUUAAAAAUUUUUUUAAAUCUCCCCCCCCCACUUUUAUUGAGUAUAAUUGGCAUAUAACAUGAUACAAGUUUAAGGUGUAUUUUAUAUGCAUCAUGAAGUGAUUAUCACAUUAUGUUAAGUGAACAUCCAUCAUCUUAUAUAGAUACAAAACUAAAGAAAUAGAAAACAUUUUUUCUUGUGAUUGUAAUUCAAGAUUCACUCUCAUAACAACUUUUAUAUAUAACUUACAGCAGUGUUAAUUAUAUUUAUCAUUUUGUGCAUUAUAUCUCUAGUAUUUACUUAUCUUUCUUGUGAUUCAAUAUUUUACAGAUUAUACUCCAUUUAAAAUUAUUAUAAAAUAUUGACUAUAUUCCUUGUGCUGUAUAAUAUACCCUUGUAGCUUAUUUAUUUUAUACAUAGUAGUUUGUAUCCCUUAUUCCCCUACCCCUGUCUUGCUCAUUCCCCACCAGUAACCACGGAUUUGUUCUCUUUAUAUCUGUGAGUCUGUUUCUUUUACAUCGUAUUCAAUCAGUAUUUUAUUUUAUUUGACCACAGCAUGCAGCCUGUGAGAAUCUUAGUUCCCUGACCAGGGAUUGAACCUGGGUCCCUGGCAGUGGAAGCAUGGAGUCCUAACCACUGGAUCAGCAAGGAAUUCCUUUAUUUUUAUUUUACUUAAAUUAUUUUUAUUGUGGUAAGAACACUUAAUAUGAGAUAUACCCUGUUAAUAAAAUUUUAAGUGCAUAAUACAUCAUUUUUAACUAUAAGCAUGACAUUGCACUGCAGGUUUCUAGAACUUAUUCAUCUUAGAUGAUGAAAACAAAAUAGAGAGUCCAGAAAUAAAGCCACAUAAAUACAGUCAACUGGUUGACUGGGGCAUCAAGGCUAUGUGCUGGACAUCAACAUGCCAAAGAAUGAAAUUGUACCCUUAACUUAGAUCAUAUACCCAAAGCAACUCAAAAUGGAUAAAGAUUUAAAUGCAAGACCUGGAUCUGUAAAACUCCCAGAAGAAAACAGAAGGAGAAAGCUUCAUGGUGGUAGGCUUGGCAAUGAUUUCUUAGAUGUGACAACAGUCGACCUUAUAUUCCCACUCUGUCCCCAGGCCCCUUGUGCCAGCACAAGGAGUAUUCAGGCACCGAGGGCAGGGGGCUGCAGAGUGCCAUGAUCAGACAUGACUUUGACCCUGGCCUCUGCUAUUUGCAAGUUGUGUGACCUUUUGUGGCCUCGGUUUUCUCAUCUGUACAAUGUUGCUGUUGUUGUUUAACUGCUCAGUCAUGUCCAGCUGUUUUGUGACCCCAUGGACAGUAGCCUGCCAGGCUCCUCUGUUCCUGGGAUUUCUCAGGCAAGAAUACUGGAGUGGUUACCAUUUCCUUCACCAGGGUAUCUUCCUGACCCAGGGGUUGAACCCCAUGUCUCUUGCUUGGCAGGCGGAUUCUUUACCGCUGAGCCACCUGGGAAGCCCCCAUUUGUACAGUGGGGGUAGGUAUUACCAGACAGGUACUUGUGCUGAUCAGCGCUUGCUGCCCCUGCUCAGAAUCCAGGGGCCCAGGUCUGGUGCAGCCAGGCUCAGCGGCCCCUCUCGGUGCUGACCACGUCCUGUAGUGCUCCUGGAACAUUCUCAGCUGUGUACCUACACGGGGAAGUUGAGGAACCCUCAAUGUGUUGACUCAUUUUCUGGGGCUCACCCAGCAGGGUCACCUUCUUGAUUCCCCAUGAUGCCAGGACCAACAUAGACACAGUCUGUUUCUCUGUUUUAAACUCCCGAUAAUUCUUAGGCACUAACGAGGGCCUCUCAGCCCAGGAGGCUGAUUAGAAGGGAAGAAUUGAGUGGGACAAUUAGGACGCAGAAGAAGGGAAGGACGGCGGGAGUCCUAAUCCCCAAACAAGAUAGUGUGAGAUCAGGCUUAACGUUAAAUACGUCAUCCGUCAAACAGUCAUCCUCCGGCCCCUUGGAGGCCAGUCCCCUGAGGUUCAGGUCAGGUGGCGUGAUCUGGGUAAUCACUUAGUUCUCUCCCUGAAUGGCAAACAACAGACUAGGGUAAUCUUGCACUUGGGUAAUCUUGUAAUUAUGAUGUCGCAUCUUUAAAUGGCUCAGGAUAAACAGGAUGCUGGAAUUACGAAAGGUGUGUAAUAAAUGGUUACAUUGAUGGUGACACCGAGGUUGCCCUAGGUGCUAGGAGGGCUCCAUCUUGAUAUGACUUAGCUUUAACAGGGGUAGGUCUCUCUUAUCUUUAGUUUAGAACAUUCCUAGCAGUUUUCUAGUAUUAAAGUUGUUAAUUUAACAUUUCCAAAAGCCCAGGGAAUAAAAUAAAGUUAGCUAUUUCUCACAUUCAGAAAAGAGAAGGCUUUUUUCUUUGAAAAUAUUGAAAGUUGAGAGUCAUUAUGAUCUUGGAGGAGGAGCAGUGAGCAGUCCUGAAGAGAGAUCUUAGCUCUCUGCCCAGGGACUGGACCUGGGUAGCUCAAGUGGUCAAGAAUCUGCCUGUGAUGCAGGAGACAUGGGAGAUGUGGGUUCGAUCCCUGGGUGGGGAAGAUCCCCCAGAGGAGGAAAUGGCAACCAACUCCAGUAUUCUUGUGUGGGAAAUCCCAUGGACAGAGAAGCCUGCUGGGCUACAGUUCAUGGAGUCACAAAGAGUCAGACACAACUGGGAAAGCAUUCACCUGGUUCACAAGCCUGGAUGAAAAUCAGAGACCUCCAGACCAGCAGGGGCUAGAGAUUAGAAGCAAAGUGACCUGGCUGUUUUCCCCAUUUGAAAGCAAGACUAUUUAAGGAGGCAAAAUUAUAAAAACAGCUAUGAAGUUUAUUACUAGAGACACAGCACAAGUGAGAGAGCAUGCAGAGAAGCAGUUUAUUCUUUUGAGACAGAGGCAAGGCAGAGAUGCACACCCAGAGAGGAAUGAGGGCGUCCUGAAGGAGGAGGGAAGUAAAGAGGUGAUGUAAACCUCUUCUAUAGGACAGUCCUUCCAGUGCUUUGUUUACAUUUGACCAAUUAUCUCCUCUUUUCACACCUGACUGGUCCUGGGAUCCUCUCCAAGAUGCAUGCCCAAAUUUUUGCUAAGAUGGAUCCCAUCACAGAGGCCUAUGGGUGCAUGCCCACACUUGUUAUUGGAUGGGACCCCCUUCCUUUUCGACCCCCAAGAAGCAUGUGCUUCCUGUGCGUGUGCAGGCCGGGAAGUCCUCCUCGACCUCAGGAGUGAGUGCCUUGUCUCUUUACUUCAGCAGAGCUCAGCUUCUGCCACUAGCUCUGUCCUUGGAGUGUCUGGGUGAGAACAAAGCUUCCAUUUUACUCCACUUGACAAACGCCAGCUGUCCAGCCCAGGAGCCCAGGUAUCUCCUACCUUGAUUACCCUUUCCCCCUCAGUCUAUACUGGCCAUCUGACCUAUGGGGCUGCCCAUCAUGCGGCAGAGGUGAAGCCAAGUGUGGUCCAUGCAACCAGACUCCCAAGUGAGUUCAAAUCCUGACUUCGCCUCCCGAGCUGUGUGCCUCAUGGGGUGACUAACUUCUCUGUGCCUCGGAUUCUUGCCCUGUACCAGGCACACAGAACCACAGUCCUGACCUCAGGGGCUUUCCAAGAUUCCACUGGACACUUUACUUAGAACAGUGCUUAGUAUGUAAGAGCAAUCGCACUGGUAGCUGCUGUUAUUGACACCGAUAAUCAACAUUAAAAGAGAAAAUCAGAUUUCUGAAAUAAGUUUUUGUUUUUUUUUUUUAAAAAAAUAACCAUACACUAAACUUCAGUUUGAAAAUAAAGAAGUGAUUGGGCUGAAGAAAAGCCUCAUCUGUGAUAGAGGGUUGGACACACACAACUGUUCCAGGGCUUCUAGCAAGAGCAAAAUUAAUUCUCAUGUAAGAUGAUUAAGCGCAUGAAACAAUUCUUGUGCAAUAAAUGUGACUAAAUGCAGGUGUUGCCUCUCAUACCUGAGCUCAGGCACACACCGUCCUCUGCAGGGGCCCCUUUCACUUGUUCUCAGAGCCUUAAAAAUUUGUUUUUUUGCUGUCAAAUAUAUUUUAAACAAGUCGAGAGGAGAGAAAUAGCCUAUUGUAUUUGCAAUUUUUCUUCCUUCAUUACUGAUGUUCCAAGGUUCCUUCUGGUAUCAUUUCUCAUUUGUCUAAAGAACUUCCUGAAGCAAUGAUUUAGAGCAGAUGGCUGGCAGUGACUCCACCUGGUUUUCCUUCAUCUGAGAAUAUUUUUAAUACUGACUGGAAUUUCAAUUUUAUUUGUUUGUUUGUUUUUGGCUAUGUUGGGUCUUCAUUGCUGCAUGUGAGCUUUCUCUAGUUGCAGAGUGUUGGCUACUCUCUAAUUUUGGUUCAUGGGCUUCUCACUGCGGUGGCUUCUCUUGUUCUGGAGCAUAGCUCUAGGUGCAGGGGCUGUAGUAGUUGCAGCAUGCGGGCUCAGUAGCUGUAACUUGCUGGCUCUAGGGUGUGCAGGCUUCAGUAUCUCUGAGUCUUUAUAUUUGAGCAACAUGGAUGCUUGCAAAUGGUGGGUCUUUUGCCAUCUUCCUUUUUGGCUGAAAUGGCUAUGGUGAGGAGUAACAUGGUGAGGAAUCCACUGUGUGGGUUUGCAAGCACAGAGGAGCCUCCUGUAUGCUGCAGAAACUGUGUAUCUGAGGGUAGAGUUAAUAAUUCAAACCAAUGAGGACCAAUGAGAAAGUGAGCGAGGCAACCAAGGGGCCAAGCACGCCAGGUCACAGAUGCUGGAUGCUGAGGCGCCCCUUGCUCACCAUCCUUGAUGGAGUGGUCCGUGUGUCUGCAGCUCUCUAGAAU
ensembl:lncRNA